CCUACGGGUGGCUGCAGGGAGGAAUAUUGGGCAAUGGACGGAAGUCUGAACCAGCCAUGCCGCGGGCAGGAAGACGGCUCUAUGAGUUGUAAACUGCUUUUGUACAAGGGUAAACCUGAAUACGUGUAUGCAGCUGAAAGUACUGUACGAAUAAGGAUCGGCUAACUCCGUGCCAGCAGCCGCGGUAAUACGGAGGAUCCAAGCGGUAUCCGUAUUUAUUGGGGUUAAAGGGUGCGUAGGCGGAUUGAUAAGUUAGAGGUGAAAUGUCCGAGCUUAACUCGGGAACUGCCUCUCAUACUGUUGCUCUAGCGCGUAGCUGCGGUAGGCGGAAUGUCUGGUGUAGCGG
rnacentral:rRNA from 1 species